rnacentral:rRNA from 1 species
UUGAACGCUGGCGGCAGGCCUAACACAUGCAAGUCGAACGGUAACAGGAAACAGCUUGCUGUUUCGCUGACGAGUGGCGGACGGGUGAGUAAUGUCUGGGAAACUGCCUGAUGGAGGGGGAUAACUACUGGAAACGGUAGCUAAUACCGCAUAACGUCGCAAGACCAAAGAGGGGGACCUUCGGGCCUCUUGCCAUCGGAUGUGCCCAGAUGGGAUUAGCUAGUAGGUGGGGUAACGGCUCACCUAGGCGACGAUCCCUAGCUGGUCUGAGAGGAUGACCAGCCACACUGGAACUGAGACACGGUCCAGACUCCUACGGGAGGCAGCAGUGGGGAAUAUUGCACAAUGGGCGCAAGCCUGAUGCAGCCAUGCCGCGUGUAUGAAGAAGGCCUUCGGGUUGUAAAGUACUUUCAGCGGGGAGGAAGGGAGUAAAGUUAAUACCUUUGCUCAUUGACGUUACCCGCAGAAGAAGCACCGGCUAACUCCGUGCCAGCAGCCGCGGUAAUACGGAGGGUGCAAGCGUUAAUCGGAAUUACUGGGCGUAAAGCGCACGCAGGCGGUUUGUUAAGUCAGAUGUGAAAUCCCCGGGCUCAACCUGGGAACUGCAUCUGAUACUGGCAAGCUUGAGUCUCGUAGAGGGGGGUAGAAUUCCAGGUGUAGCGGUGAAAUGCGUAGAGAUCUGGAGGAAUACCGGUGGCGAAGGCGGCCCCCUGGACGAAGACUGACGCUCAGGUGCGAAAGCGUGGGGAGCAAACAGGAUUAGAUACCCUGGUAGUCCACGCCGUAAACGAUGUCGACUUGGAGGUUGUGCCCUUGAGGCGUGGCUUCCGGAGCUAACGCGUUAAGUCGACCGCCUGGGGAGUACGGCCGCAAGGUUAAAACUCAAAUGAAUUGACGGGGGCCCGCACAAGCGGUGGAGCAUGUGGUUUAAUUCGAUGCAACGCGAAGAACCUUACCUGGUCUUGACAUCCACGGAAGUUUUCAGAGAUGAGAAUGUGCCUUCGGGAACCGUGAGACAGGUGCUGCAUGGCUGUCGUCAGCUCGUGUUGUGAAAUGUUGGGUUAAGUCCCGCAACGAGCGCAACCCUUAUCCUUUGUUGCCAGCGGUCCGGCCGGGAACUCAAAGGAGACUGCCAGUGAUAAACUGGAGGAAGGUGGGGAUGACGUCAAGUCAUCAUUGCCCUUACGACCAGGGCUACACACGUGCUACAAUGGCGCAUACAAAGAGAAGCGACCUCGCGAGAGCAAGCGGACCUCAUAAAGUGCGUCGUAGUCCGGAUUGGAGUCUGCAACUCGACUCCAUGAAGUCGGAAUCGCUAGUAAUCGUGGAUCAGAAUGCCACGGUGAAUACGUUCCCGGGCCUUGUACACACCGCCCGUCACACCAUGGGAGUGGGUUGCAAAAGAAGUAGGUAGCUUAACCUUCGGGAGGGCGCUUACCACUUUGUGAUUCAUGACUGGGGUG